GGGGGUAUAGCCCAGUGGUACAGUGCAUGCCUAGUGUGCAUGAGGUCCUGGGUUCAAUCCCCAGUCCCUCUG
rnacentral:tRNA from 1 species